rnacentral:tRNA from 1 species
GGCGACGUAGCUCAGCUGGUCAGAGCAGAGGAAUCAUAAUCCUAAGGUCCGGGGUUCAAAUCCCUGCGUCGCUA